rnacentral:rRNA from 1 species
GUCUACGGCCAUGCCACCCUGAACAAGCCGGAUCCUGUCUGAUCUCGGAAGCUAAGCAGGGUUAGGCCUGGUUAGUAUUUGGAUGGGAGACUACCUAGGAAGACCAGGUGCUGUAGGCA